CCUCUUUUUCCUCAUGUUCCUAUCUACAAGAAACCCUUUCCUCAUAUUCCUAUCUACAAACCUCCUUUUCCUCAUAUUCCUAUCUUCAAAAAACCUUUCCCUCCACAUGAGCCUAUCUAUGAAAAACCUCUUCCUCCGCCUACACCGGUCUAUGAAAAACCAGUUCCUCCGCCUACACCUGUCUAUGAAAAACCUCUUCCUCCGCCUACACCGGUCUAUGAGAAACCUCUUCCCCCGCCUACACCUGUCUAUGAGCCUCCACCAACUCCUGUAUAUCAUAAACCUCUUCCCCCACCUACGCCUGUCUAUGAGAAACCUCUUCCUCCACCUACACCUGUAUAUCAUAAACCACAUCCACCACCGGCUCCGGUCAAAGGUUGUCCACCAAAGGUUGAACACCCAAUUCUACCACCUGCUCCAGUAUACAAACCUCCUCCAGUUCCAAAGCCACAACCACCACCGGUUCCGGUCAAGAAACCAUGUCCACCAAAGGUUGAACAUCCAAUUCUGC
rnacentral:lncRNA from 1 species